CAUUAAAAACAAUCUAGAAAUCAGCAGAACUAUCGGAGAAUCUUCUCCGCACACUAAAAGUUACAGUCACAAAAUUCUACGUUUUGGGAUGGUGCCAACAAACGAUUGCUUCAUCAAUCAGCUUGUUUACUGUCUUCACCACAUUGUCUAACAUGAGUUCUUUGCAUUCGCCUUCCCUGUCCUGGCUGCCGGUGCUCCCAUCUUGCACAAUGCUGAAUGGAAUGUUGAGCCUGAAAAGAGCUUCUGAAGUAUUGAGGAAUGAUCGGUUUGCGACUAAGAUCCUCUUCAGGCGGAUUUCGCUUUCUGUUAGUGGCUUUUGUGUUCUCUUUGCAUAUAUAUUUUGAUUUUUAUGUGGGUGAGGCUUAUCUAUACAUGGUGUAGCAGAUGAUGCAAUUUAUGCACUUAUAUGCUCACCAUUUGUUGUAUUUAAUGCAAGUUCACCACGCUUGAAUCCUUCAUUUGCUACCACAGGAGCAGCAUGAUCCUGCAACAAAUCAACAUGUUUCAUUGUUACUUGAAAUAAAAUAAACUUGUGUUAUUCUACUUCAAUUUCUGGACAAAGCUCCUGUUACUAUAUAUUUUGCUUCAUUGUAUGAGACUGUUUUAGAUCAUAAUUUAAAGAGCAAUGCUAGGGGGCCAGCAACUUUUGUGAUUGGUAGCCAGCAAAUAACCAUCAAUGAUGAUUUAAUGGUGUGAGAUUGGUGUGAGAUUUCAUCCAAUGACUCACAUUUCUCUGCUGGUUACAUGCUGGCCAAAAUUCAACAAAACUGCUGGUCCCCUAGACUU